AUUAGAUACCCAGGUAGUCCUAGCCGUAAACGUUGGGUGCUAGGUGUGGGCGGACAUCGACCCCGUCCGUGCCGAAGCUAACGCAUUAAGCACCCCGCCUGGGGAGUACGGCCGCAAGGCUAAAACUCAAAGGAAUUGACGGGGCCCCGCACAAGCGGCGGAGCAUGUUGCUUAAUUCGAUGCAACGCGAAGAACCUUACCUGGGCUUGACAUGCAGGGUGAAACCCGUGAAAGCGGGCGCUCUUCGGAGCCUGCACAGGUGGUGCAUGGCUGUCGUCAGCUCGUGCCGUGAGGUGUUGCCUUAAGUGGCGCAACGAGCGCAACCCCUGUCCUUAGUUGCCAGCGGAUCAUGCCGGGAACUCUAGGGAGACUGCCGGUGCCAAACCGGAGGAAGGUGGGGAUGACGUCAAGUCAUCAUGCCCCUUACGUCCAGGGCUGCAAACAUGCUACAAUGCUCGGUACAAAGGGUUGCGAUCCCGGCAAGGGGGAGCGAAUCCCAAAAAGCCGGGCUCAGUUCGGAUCGGGGUCUGCAACCC
rnacentral:rRNA from 1 species